UUUCAGCUUUCUACAUAUGGCUAGCCAGUUUUCCCAGCACCAUUUAUUAAAUAGGGAAUCCUUUCCCCAUUUCUUGUUUUUGUCAGGUUUGUCAAAGAUGAGAUAGUUGUAGAUGUGCGGUGUUAUUUCUGAGGGCUCUGUUCUGUUCCAUUGAUCUAUAUCUCUGUUUUGGUACCAGUACCAUGCUGUUUUGGUUACUGUAGCCUUGUAGUAUAGUUUGAAGUCAGGUAGCGUGAUGCCUCCAGCUUUGUUCUUUUGGUUUAGGAUUGACUUGUUGAUGAGUGAACUCCCAUUCACAACUGCUUCAAAGAGAAUAAAAUACCUAGGAAUCCAACUUACAAGGGAUGUGAAGGACCUCUUCAAGGAGAACUACAAACCACUGCUCAAGGAAAUAAAAGAGGAUACAAACAAAUGGAAGAACAUUCCAUGCUCGUGGGUAGGAAGAAUCAAUAUCGUGAAAAUGGCCAUACUGCCCAAGGUAAAACCUGGCUGUGCCCUGUUGAAAUCAAUUCUGUUGCAGUCAUAUGCGGUGGAAUCUGUUCUUCUUUUGCAUCCUACGUAACCAGACCAAGCUGUGGGGCCAGGCACGGUGGCACAUACCUGUAAUCCCAGCACUGCAAGAGGCUGAGGUGGGCGGAUCACCUGAGGUCAGGAGUUUGAGACUAGCCUGGCCAACAUGGUGAAACCCCGUCUCUACUAAAAAUAGAAAAAUGAGCUGGAUAUGGUGGUGCACGCCUGUAAUCCCAAUUACUCGGGAGGCUGCGGCAGGAGAAUCGCUUGAACCCAGGAGACAGAGGUUGCAGUGAGCCAAGACAAAGCCAUUGUA